rnacentral:rRNA from 1 species
GGAUGAACGCUGGCGGCGUGCCUAAUACAUGCAAGUCGAGCGAACAGACGAGGAGCUUGCUCCUCYGACGUUAGCGGCGGACGGGUGAGUAACACGUGGAUAACCUACCUAUAAGACUGGGAUAACUUCGGGAAACCGGAGCUAAUACCGGAUAAYAUGUUGAACCGCAUGGUUCAACAGUGAAAGACGGUCUUGCUGUCACUUAUAGAUGGAUCCGCGCCGCAUUAGCUAGUUGGUAAGGUAACGGCUUACCAAGGCAACGAUGCGUAGCCGACCUGAGAGGGUGAUCGGCCACACUGGAACUGAGACACGGUCCAGACUCCUACGGGAGGCAGCAGUAGGGAAUCUUCCGCAAUGGGCGAAAGCCUGACGGAGCAACGCCGCGUGAGUGAUGAAGGUCUUCGGAUCGUAAAACUCUGUUAUUAGGGAAGAACAAAUGUGUAAGUAACUAUGCACGUCUUGACGGUACCUAAUCAGAAAGCCACGGCUAACUACGU